GUUAAGGUCCCCAAAUCUAUGCUAAGUGGAAAAGGAUGUGGAGUUGCGUAGACAACUAGGACGUUGGCUUAGAAGCAGCCAUCAUUCAAAGAGUGCGUAAUAGCUCACUAGUCGAGUGACCCUGCGCCGAAAAUGUACCGGGGCUAAAACAAUUUACCGAAGCUUUGGAUCCCUUAGGGGAUGGUAGGAGAGCGUUCUAUGUGUGGAGAAGGUGUACCGUGAGGAGCGCUGGAACGCAUAGAAGUGAGAAUGCCGGUAUGAGUAGCGAAAGACAGGUGAGAAUCCUGUCCACCGUAAGACUAAGGUUUCCAGGGGAAGGCUCGUCCGCCCUGGGUUAGUCGGGACCUAAGGAGAGACCGAAAGGUGUAUCCGAUGGACAACAGGUUGAUAUUCCUGUACUAGAGUAUGUAGUGAUGGAGGGACGCAGUAGGCUAACUAAAGCAGACGACUGGAAGAGUCUGUCUAAGCAGUGAGGUGUGAUAUGAGUCAAAUGCUUAUAUCUAUAACAUUGA
rnacentral:rRNA from 1 species